rnacentral:rRNA from 1 species
UACGGGGGGGGCAAGCGUUGUUCGGAAUUACUGGGCGUAAAGGGCUCGUAGGCGGCCAACUAAGUCACACGUGAAAUCCCCAGGCUUAACCUGGGAACUGCGUGUGAUACUGGAUGGCUUGAAUUCGGGAGAGGGAUGCAGAAUUCCAGGUGUAGCGGUGAAAUGCGUAGAUAUCUGGAGGAAUACCGGUGGCGAAGGCGGCAUCCUGGACCGGCAUUGACGCUGAGCGGCGAAAGCUAGGGGAGCAAACGGG